rnacentral:rRNA from 1 species
AGACCCGAAACCCGGUGAUCUAGCCAUGGGCAGGUUGAAGGUUGGGUAACACUAACUGGAGGACCGAACCGACUAAUGUUGAAAAAUUAGCGGAUGACCUGUGGCUGGGGGUGAAAGGCCAAUCAAACCGGGAGAUAGCUGGUUCUCCCCGAAAGCUAUUUAGGUAGCGCCUCGUGAAUUCAUCUCCGGGGGUAGAGCACUGUUUCGGCUAGGGGGCCAUCCCGGCUUACCAACCCGAUGCAAACUGCGAAUACCGGAGAAUGUUAUCACGGGAGACACACGGCGGGUGCUAACGUCCGUCGUGAAGAGGGAAACAACCCAGACCGCCAGCUAAGGUCCCAAAGUCAUGGUUAAGUGGGAAACGAUGUGGGAAGGCCCAGACAGCCAGGAUGUUGGCUUAGAAGCAGCCAUCAUUUAAAGAAAGCGUAAUAGCUCACUGGUCGAGUCGGCCUGCGCGGAAGAUGUAACGGGGCUAAACCAUGCACCGAAGCUGCGGCAGCGACGCUGAUGC